rnacentral:rRNA from 1 species
UACGUAGGGUGCAAGCGUUAAUCGGAAUUACUGGGCGUAAAGCGUGCGCAGGCGGUUGUGUAAGACAGAUGUGAAAUCCCCGGGCUCAACCUGGGAACUGCAUUUGUGACUGCACGGCUCGAGUGCGGCAGAGGGGGAUGGAAUUCCGCGUGUAGCAGUGAAAUGCGUAGAUAUGCGGAGGAACACCGAUGGCGAAGGCGGCAUUCUGGACCGACAUUGACGCUGAGGAGCGAAAGCCAGGGGAGCAAACGGG